ACGAGGGUGACAGGUGGUGCAUGGUUGUCGUCAGCUCGUGUCGUGAGAUGUUGGUUAAGUCCCGCAACGAGCGCAACCCUCGACCUUAGUUGCCAGCAUUCAGUUGGGCACUCUAAGGUGACUGCCGGCUAAAAGUCGGAGGAAGGUGGGGAUGACGUCAAAUCAUCAUGCCCCUUAUGACCUGGGCUACACACGUGCUACAAUGGGCGGUACAAAGGGUCGCGAACCCGCGAGGGGGAGCCAAUCCCAAAAAGCCGCUCUCAGUUCGGAUUGCAGGCUGCAACUCGCCUGCAUGAAGCCGGAAUCGCUAGUAAUCGCGGAUCAGCAUGCCGCGGUGAAUACGUUCCCGGGCCUU
rnacentral:rRNA from 1 species